rnacentral:sRNA from 1 species
GUUGUAAGGGGUGAUCUGGCUAAGACAUCUGUCACUCAUUGAUAGCCAGGGUUUAUUUGGCCUGUUUAUGCUGUCCCCUUGCCCCCUUAUCAUUC